rnacentral:snRNA from 1 species
GUGCUUGCUGCAGCAGCACAUAUACUAAAAUUGGAACAACAGAGAGAAGAUUAGCAUGGCCCCUGUGCAAGGAUGACACGCAAAUCCAUGAAGCAUUCCAUAUUUUU